AGGAUAAACGCUGGCGGCGUGCCUAACACAUGCAAGUCGAACGUCCUACGCAAGUAGGGAGUGGCGGACGGGUGAGUAACACGUGGGCAAUCUACCUUUCGGUGAGGAAUACCGGCGAGAAAUCGCCGACAAUACCGCAUACGCUUCGCAAGAAGCAAAGUCGCAAGACGCCGGAGGAGGAGCCUGCGCCCGAUUAGCUAGUUGGUGAGGUAAGAGCUUACCAAGGCGACGAUCGGUAGCUGGUCUGAGAGGAUGAUCAGCCACACUGGGAUUGAGAACGGCCCAGACUCCUACGGGGGGCAGCAGUGAGGAAUUUUCGUCAAUGGGGGCAACCCUGAACGAGCAACGCCGCGUGCAGGAUGACACUUUUCGGAGCGUAAACUGCUUUUCUCGGGGAAGAGAACGGACGGUACCCGAGGAAUAAGCCCCGGCUAACUACGUGCUAGCAGCCGC
rnacentral:rRNA from 1 species